rnacentral:rRNA from 1 species
GAUGAACGCUAGCGGCAGGCUUAACACAUGCAAGUCGAGGGGUAUAGUUCUUCGGAACUAGAGACCGGCGCACGGGUGCGUAACGCGUAUGCAAUCUACCUUUACAGGGGAAUAGCCCAGAGAAUUUGGAUUAAUGCCCCAUAGUAUAGUUUUUCGCAUGAAGAGAUUAUUAAAGCUACCACACAAAGAUGAGCCCGCGUCUCAUUAGCUAGUUGGUAGGGUAAUGGCCUACCAAGGCUACGAUGAGUAGCUGGUCUGAGAGGACGACCAGCCACACUGGAACUGAGACACGGUCCAGACUCCUACGGGAGGCAGCAGUGGGGAAUUUUGGACAAUGGGCGAAAGCCUGAUCCAGCCAUUCCGCGUGCAGGAUGAAGGCCCUCGGGUUGUAAACUGCUUUUGUACAGAACGAAAAGGUUUCUAUUAAUACUAGGAGCUCAUGACGGUACUGUAAGAAUAAGCACCGGCUAACUACGUG